rnacentral:tRNA from 1 species
UCCCCUGUAGCUCAAUUGGCAGAGCAAUCGGCUGUUAACCGAUAGGUUACUGGUUCGAGUCCAGUCGGGGGAGCCA